rnacentral:rRNA from 1 species
GAUGAACGCUGGCGGCGUGCCUAAUACAUGCAAGUCGAACGCAUUGAGAGAAGUGCUUGCACUCUUCAAUUUGAGUGGCGAACGGGUGAGUAACACGUGGGCAACCUACCUGAUAGCGGGGGAUAACGAGUGGAAACAUUCGCUAAUACCGCAUAACAAUAGAGAAGGCAUCUUCUUUAUUUAAAAGGCGCUUUCACGCGUCACUAUCAGAUGGGCCCGCGGUGCAUUAUUUAGUUGGUGGGGUGAAGGCCUACCAAGACGAUGAUGCAUAGCCGAGGUGGGAGACUGAUCGGCCACAUUGGGACUAAGCCACGGCCCAAACUCCUACGGGAGGCUGCAGUAGGGAAUCUUCUACAAUGGACGAAAGUCUGAUGGAGCAACGCCGCGUGUGUGAUGAAGGCUUUCGGGUCGUAAAGCACUGUUGUAUGGGAAGAAAUGCUAGGCUAGGAAAUGAGCUUAGUUUGACGGUACCAUACCAGAAAGGGACGGCUAAAUACGUGCCAGCAGCCGCCGUAA